UGGGGAAUAUUGCACAAUGGGCGAAAGCCUGAUGCAGCGACGCCGCGUGAGGGAUGACGGCCUUCGGGUUGUAAACCUCUUUCAGCAGGGAAGAAGCGAAAGUGACGGUACCUGCAGAAGAAGCGCCGGCUAACUACGUGCCAGCAGCCGCGGUAAUACGUAGGGCGCAAGCGUUGUCCGGAAUUAUUGGGCGUAAAGAGCUCGUAGGCGGUUAGUCGCGUCUGCUGUGAAAACUCGAGGCUCAACCUCGGGCUUGCAGUGGGUACGGGCUGACUAGAGUGCGGUAGGGGGUGACUGGAAUUCCUGGUGUAGCGGUGGAAUGCGCAGAUAUCAGGAGGAACACCGAUGGCGAAGGCAGGUCACUGGGCCGCAACUGACGCUGAGGAGCGAAAGCAUGGGGAGCGAACAGGAUUAGAUACCCUGGUAGUCCAUGCCGUAAACGUUGGGCACUAGGUGUGGGGUCCAUUCCACGGAUUCCGUGCCGCAGCAAACGCAUUAAGUGCCCCGCCUGGGGGAGUACGGCCGCAAGGCUAAAACUCAAAGGAAUUGACGGGGUCAUAGCUGUUUCCU
rnacentral:rRNA from 1 species